ACGGGGAGUUAGCGGUGCCCUGUAACCCGCAAUCCGCUAUAGCGGGGUUGAAGCCUAUCCGAGGGUGUUCCUUUUUGAGGCCGGCCGGCACGGGCAGCGUUGAAAGCUGGGGCCUGCGCAAUGAGAACCCAUGAACCCCGUCAGGUCCGGGAGGAAGCAGCGGUAAGCGGUCAUUCUUAUGUGCCGCAGGGGUUCCUGGCUGGAGCCAGCCAUGCCCGGUAUCGCUUGGGAAGGGCAUUCGGAGAUAGGUGCACGG
rnacentral:SRP_RNA from 1 species